UGGGGAAUAUUGCACAAUGGGCGAAAGCCUGAUGCAGCAACGCCGCGUGAAGGAUGAAGGGUUUCGGCUCGUAAACUUCUAUCAAUAGGGAAGAAAGAAAUGACGGUACCUAAAUAAGAAGCCCCGGCUAACUACGUGCCAGCAGCCGCGGUAAUACGUAGGGGGCAAGCGUUAUCCGGAAUUACUGGGUGUAAAGGGAGCGUAGGCGGCAUGGUAAGCCAGAUGUGAAAGCCUUGGGCUUAACCCGAGGAUUGCAUUUGGAACUAUCAAGCUAGAGUACAGGAGAGGAAAGCGGAAUUCCUAGUGUAGCGGUGAAAUGCGUAGAUAUUAGGAAGAACACCAGUGGCGAAGGCGGCUUUCUGGACUGAAACUGACGCUGAGGCUCGAAAGCGUGGGGAGCAAACA
rnacentral:rRNA from 1 species